GUGCUCACUUUGGCAGCACAUAUUCUAAAAUAAGAUGAUACAGAGAAGAUUAGCAUGGC
rnacentral:snRNA from 1 species